rfam:Felis catus isolate Cinnamon breed Abyssinian chromosome D1, whole genome shotgun sequence.
GCCUGGAUGGCUCAGUCGGUUGAGCAUCUGACUUCGGCUCAGGUCAUGAUCUCACGGUCUAUGGGUUCAAGCCCCAUGUCAGGUU